CGUAGCUCAGCUGGAUAGAGCACCGCCCUCCUAAGCGGCAGAUGGUUCGAUUCCUUCGAGCA
rnacentral:tRNA from 1 species